rnacentral:rRNA from 1 species
GGGGAAUAUUGCACAAUGGGGGAAACCCUGAUGCAGCAACGCCGCGUGAGGGAAGAAGGUCUUCGGAUUGUAAACCUUUGUCCUUGGUGACGAAACAAAUGACGGUAGCCAAGGAGGAAGCUCCGGCUAACUACGUGCCAGCAGCCGUGGUAAUACGUAGGGAGCAAGUGUUGUCCGGAUUUACUGGGUGUAAAGGGUGCGUAGGCGGCUCUGCAAGUCAGGCGUGAAAACUAUGGGCUUAACCCAUAGACUGCGUUUGAAACUGUGGGGCUUGAGUGAAGUAGAGGUAGGCGGAAUUCCCGGUGUAGCGGUGAAAUGCGUAGAGAUCGGGAGGAACACCAGUGGCGAAGGCGGCCUACUGGGCUUUAACUGACGCUGAAGCACGAAAGCAUGGGUAGCAAAC